rnacentral:rRNA from 1 species
CUAAGAAUAUUCCGCAAUGGACGAAAGUCUGACGGAGCGACGCCGCGUGGAUGAAGAAGGUCGGAAGGUUGUAAAGUUCUUUUAAGCAUGAAGAAGGAUUAUUGCAGGAAAUGGCAGUAAAGUGACGGUAGUGCUUGAAUAAGAGGCGGCUAAUUACGUGCCAGCAGCCGCGGUAACACGUAAGUUGCGAGCGUUGUUCGGAAUUAUUGGGCGUAAAGGGCAUGUAGGCGGUUUUGCAAGCUUGGUGUGAAAUGCCGGAGCUUAACUCCGGAAUUGCGUUGAGAACUGCAUAACUAGAGUCACUGAGGGGCAAUCAGAAUUCCAGGUGUAGGGGUGAAAUCUGUAGAUAUCUGGAAGAAUACCAAUGGCGAAGGCAGGUUACCAGCAGAUGACUGACGCUGAGGUGCGAAGGUGCGGGGAGCAAACAGGAUUAGAUACCCUGGUAGU